rnacentral:rRNA from 1 species
AUAACUCCGGGAAACCGGGGCUAAUACCGGAUGCUUGUUUGAACCGCAUGGUUCAAACAUAAAAGGUGGCUUCGGCUACCACUUACAGAUGGACCCGCGGCGCAUUAGCUAGUUGGUGAGGUAACGGCUCACCAAGGCAACGAUGCGUAGCCGACCUGAGAGGGUGAUCGGCCACACUGGGACUGAGACACGGCCCAGACUCCUACGGGAGGCAGCAGUAGGGAAUCUUCCGCAAUGGACGAAAGUCUGACGGAGCAACGCCGCGUGAGUGAUGAAGGUUUUCGGAUCGUAAAGCUCUGUUGUUAGGGAAGAACAAGUACCGUUCGAAUAGGGCGGUGCCUUGACGGUACCUAACCAGAAAGCCACGGCUAACUACGUGCCAGCAGCCGCGGUAAUACGUAGGUGGCAAGCGUUGUCCGGAAUUAUUGGGCGUAAAGGGCUCGCAGGCGGUUCCUUAAGUCUGAUGUGAAAGCCCCCGGCUCAACCGGGGAGGGUCAUUGGAAACUGGGGAACUUGAGUGCAGAAGAGGAGAGUGGAAUUCCACGUGUAGCGGUGAAAUGCGUAGAGAUGUGGAGGAACACCAGUGGCGAAGGCGACUCUCUGGUCUGUAACUGACGCUGAGGAGCGAAAGCGUGGGGAGCGAACAGGAUUAGAUACCCUGGUAGUCCACGCCGUAAACGAUGAGUGCUAAGUGUUAGGGGGUUUCCGCCCCUUAGUGCUGCAGCUAACGCAUUAAGCACUCCGCCUGGGGAGUACGGUCGCAAGACUGAAACUCAAAGGAAUUGACGGGGGCCCGCACAAGCGGUGGAGCAUGUGGUUUAAUUCGAAGCAACGCGAAGAACCUUACCAGGUCUUGACAUCCUCUGACAAUCCUAGAGAUAGGACGUCCCCUUCGGGGGCAGAGUGACAGGUGGUGCAUGGUUGUCGUCAGCUCGUGUCGUGAGAUGUUGGGUUAAGUCCCGCAACGAGCGCAACCCUUGAUCUUAGUUGCCAGCAUUCAGUUGGGCACUCUAAGGUGACUGCCGGUGACAAACCGGAGGAAGGUGGGGAUGACGUCAAAUCAUCAUGCCCCUUAUGACCUGGGCUACACACGUGCUACAAUGGACAGAACAAAGGGCAGCGAAACC